CAACUACUCCCUCUGUCCCAAAUUUUUUGUCUUAGAUUUGUCUAGAUACGGAUGUAUCUAAUACUAAAAUGUGACUUGAUACAUCCAUACCUAGACAAAUCUACGACAAGAAUUUUGGGACGGAGGGAGUACUUU
rfam:Triticum aestivum genome assembly, contig: Triticum_aestivum_CS42_TGACv1_scaffold_485878_6AS